AUCCAUUUGAGCAGUGGCAGUAUUGUAGCUGAUGAGGUUUAACCGAGGCGCGAUUAUUGCUUCAUGAAAACUUUUCCCAAUACCCCACUUUGACGACAUGAAAUAUAGUCGGCAAAGGCAAUUUUUGACAUUUAAAAAAGAAA